GUAGGGAAUAUUGGGCAAUGGUCGGAAGACUGACCCAGCCAUGCCGCGUGCAGGAAGACGGCCCUCUGGGUUGUAAACUGCUUUUAUCUGGGAAGAAAAAGGCCAUGCGUGGCAAAUUGCCGGUACCAGAUGAAUAAGCACCGGCUAACUCCGUGCCAGCAGCCGCGGUAAUACGGAGGGUGCAAGCGUUGUCCGGAUUUAUUGGGUUUAAAGGGUGCGUAGGCGGCUGAGUAAGUCAGCGGUGAAAGACUCCGGCUUAACCGGAGCAGUGCCGUUGAUACUGGUUAGCUUGAGUGUUGGAGGGGUACAUGGAAUUGAUGGUGUAGCGGUGAAAUGCAUAGAUACCAUCAGGAACACCGAUAGCGAAGGCAUUGUACUGGCCAACAACUGACGCUGAUGCACGAAAGUGUGGGGAUCGAACAGGAUUAGAUACCCGUGUAGUCC
rnacentral:rRNA from 1 species